CCUACGGGAGGCAGCAGUGGGGGAUAUUGCACAAUGGGGGGAACCCUGAUGCAGCGACGCCGCGUGGGUGAAGAAGCGCCUCGGCGCGUAAAGCCCUGUCAGCAGGGAAGAAAAUGACGGUACCUGAAGAAGAAGCCCCGGCUAACUACGGGCCAGCAGCCGCGGGAAUACGUAGGGGGCAAGCGUUAUCCGGAUUUACUGGGUGUAAAGGGGGCGCAGACGGCGAUGCAAGCCAGGAGUGAAAGCCCGGGGCCAAACCCCGGGACUGCUCUUGGAACUGCGUGGCUGGAGUGCAGGAGGGGCAGGCGGAAUUCCUGGUGUAGCGGUGAAAUGCGUAGAUAUCAGGAGGAACACCGGUGGCGAAGGCGGCCUGCUGGACUGCAACUGACGUUGAGGCCCGAAAGCGUGGGGAGCAAACAGGAUUAGAUACCCGUGUAGUC
rnacentral:rRNA from 1 species